AUUGAACGCUGGCGGAAUGCUUUACACAUGCAAGUCGAACGGCAGCACGGACUUCGGUCUGGUGGUGAGUGGCGGACGGGUGAGUAACGUCUGGGAAACUGCCCGAUGGAGGGGGAUAACUACUGGAAACGGUAGCUAAUACCGCAUAACGUCGCAAGACCAAAGUGGGGGACCUUCGGGCCUCACACCAUCGGAUGUGCCCAGAUGGGAUUAGCUAGUAGGUGGGGUAAUGGCUCACCUAGGCGACGAUCCCUAGCUGGUCUGAGAGGAUGACCAGCCACACUGGAACUGAGACACGGUCCAGACUCCUACGGGAGGCAGCAGUGGGGAAUAUUGCACAAUGGGCGCAAGCCUGAUGCAGCCAUGCCGCGUGUAUGAAGAAGGCCUUCGGGUUGUAAAGUACUUUCAGCGGGGAGGAAGGCGGUGAAGUUAAUAGCUUCACCGAUUGACGUUACCCGCAGAAGAAGCACCGGCUAACUCCGUGCCAGCCGCCGCCGUAA
rnacentral:rRNA from 1 species